ensembl:lncRNA
AAAAAUUUCUCUGUCCACAUGUAAAUGUUAAAAACUUAAUGAUGGCCCAUCCGAAGUCUAGAAGCCUGAAAGAGGGAAAGAGUAAACAGGGUUUUGUACCCUCACAAAACCAUUAGUACUUCUGAAAAGUUCUGGUUUUUCUGGAAGGCCAGCUAAUUUUGUGUUAGUUUUCAAGAGUGGAAAAAACCACACGCGUCAGUUUUUGUGUUGCAUUUUGUGCAUACGCGUGUUUGGCCUCUACCGCUCGAGUUGGAAAAAUUUGAACUCCAGCGUCAAAUCGCGCCGUGACAACCAAUCAGGAGCCUGGUGACGUGGCUGUAACCAGGUCAAAGGGGCAGAUCAAACCAAAGCUCUUCAUUCUUCAUUCAGUAUGGAGGAAAAACUCAUCAGCGCAGUGGCUAAUCGUCCAGAACUAUACGAUGCUAGCUGCUACUUCUACCGGGACAGGAAUAAAAAGGACCUAGCUUGGAGGCACAUAAGUGAGGAGAUCGGGCAACCUGAGUCAACUGAUUCUGCAGCAGAGCCAUCCCCCCUGAUGCUUCUUCUGGCUCCCCAGUCCCUGGUCCCUCCACUCCUGCUGCUGCACCCACAGGCCCACAGAGGAGGACAGCUCAAAAGCGGUCGAGGGACGGGUACCAGGAUGGUCGAUCGGCGGUGGAGCUGGCCAUCCUGGAGUCCCUGAAGAGGCCAUGCCAGUCUCCAACGGAGUAUUUCCUCCUUGGCCUUGCUCCUGCUCUGGAGAGCAUGCCGCCUCAGACACGAGAAUUUGUGAAAUUCCAAAUGCACAAAUUAGUUUUUGAGAGCAGCACAGCUGUGUUAAAUUUGGAAACAUUGGACCCUAGCGAUCAGUAGUUUUCUGAUGAGGCAGCAGCUCUCCAGGGCAGAAACAAUGUUCUUAUUUUUCUCCUCAUUCUCCCUGAGGCUCUUCCACUCCAAGCUGGGUCCUUUUUGUUCCUGUCUUUCUGUAAAUAGUUAAAUUUUAUAUAUUUAUGUUUAAUGUUGUUGUUAUUGAAUUUAUAUAUUUUUUCAAAUAAAC